GAGUUUGAUCCUGGCUCAGAUUGAACGCUGGCGGCAUGCCUUACACAUGCAAGUCGAGCGGCAGCGCGGGGGCAACCCUGGCGGCGAGCGGCGCACGGGUGAGUAAUGCAUCGGAACGUGUCCUCUUGUGGGGGAUAACCAGUCGAAAGACUGGCUAAUACCGCAUGAGCACGAGAGUGGAAAGCGGGGGACCGUAAGGCCUCGCGCGAGAGGAGCGGCCGAUGCCGGAUUAGCUAGUUGGUGGGGUAAAGGCCUACCAAGGCGACGAUCCGUAGCUGGUUUGAGAGAACGACCAGCCACACUGGGACUGAGACACGGCCCAGACUCCUACGGGAGGCAGCAGUGGGGAAUUUUGGACAAUGGGGGCAACCCUGAUCCAGCCAUGCCGCGUGAGUGAAGAAGGCC
rnacentral:rRNA from 1 species